GUCAGUGGCGAUAGCACGUUUAAUGCAAUAGUUCCCAAUGAAUCACUGAAGUUAAGCAACGUUGCGCGUGGUUGGUAUCCGGAUGGGUGACCAUCUGGGUAAACGCGUGUUGCUGAAU
rnacentral:rRNA from 1 species